rnacentral:rRNA from 1 species
AUGAACGCUAGCUACAGGCUUAACACAUGCAAGUCGAGGGGCAGCGGUAUCGAAAGCUUGCUUUCGGUAGCCGGCGACCGGCGCACGGGUGAGUAACGCGUAUCGAACCUGCCUCAUACUCGGGAAUAGCCUUGCGAAAGUAAGAUUAAUGCCCGGUGUUUUCAGAGUCCCGCAUGAGGCUUUGAACAAAGAUUUAUCGGUAUGAGAUGGCGAUGCGUCCCAUUAGCUUGUUGGCGGGGUAACGGCCCACCAAGGCAUCGAUGGGUAGGGGUUCUGAGAGGAAGGUCCCCCACAUUGGAACUGAGACACGGUCCAAACUCCUACGGGAGGCAGCAGUGAGGAAUAUUGGUCAAUGGGCGGAAGCCUGAACCAGCCAAGUAGCGUGCAGGAAGACGGCCCUCCGGGUUGUAAACUGCUUUUAGUUGGGAAUAAAACGGGGCUCGUGAGCCCCCUUGCAUGUACCAUCAGAAAAAGGACCGGCUAAUUCCGUGCCAGCAGCCGCGGUAAUACGGAAGGUCCGGGCGUUAUCCGGAUUUAUUGGGUUUAAAGGGAGCGCAGGCGGACCUUUAAGUCAGCUGUGAAAUACGGCGGCUCAACCGUCGAACUGCAGUUGAUACUGGAGGUCUUGAGUGCACACAGGGAUGCUGGAAUUCAUGGUGUAGCGGUGAAAUGCUCAGAUAUCAUGAAGAACUCCGAUCGCGAAGGCAGGCAUCCGGGGUGCAACUGACGCUGAGGCUCGAAAGUGCGGGUAUCAAACAGGAUUAGAUACCCUGGUAGUCCGCACAGUAAACGAUGAAUACUCGCGGUUUGCGAUACAGUGUAAGCCGCCAAGCGAAAGCGUUAAGUAUUCCACCUGGGGAGUACGCCGGCAACGGUGAAACUCAAAGGAAUUGACGGGGGCCCGCACAAGCGGAGGAACAUGUGGUUUAAUUCGAUGAUACGCGAGGAACCUUACCCGGGCUGGAACUGCCAGCGACGGAUGCAGAGACGCAUCUUUCUUCGGACGCUGGCGGAGGUGCUGCAUGGUUGUCGUCAGCUCGUGUUGUGAAAUGUUGGGUUAAGUCCCGCAACGAGCGCAACCCUUAUCCUUUGUUGCCAGCGGUCCGGCCGGGAACUCAAAGGAGACUGCCAGUGAUAAACUGGAGGAAGGUGGGGAUGACGUCAAAUCAGCACGGCCCUUACGUCCGGGGCUACACACGUGUUACAAUGGGCGGUACAGAGGGCAGCCACUGCGCGAGCAGGAGCCAAUCCUCAAAGCCGUUCUCAGUUCGGACUGGAGUCUGCAACCCGACUCCACGAAGCUGGAUUCGCUAGUAAUCGCGCAUCAGCCAUGGCGCGGUGAAUACGUUCCCGGGCCUUGUACACACCGCCCGUCAAGCCAUGAAAGCCGGGAGCACUUGAAGGCCGUGACCGCAAGGGUCGGUCUAGAGUGAUACUGGUAAUUGGGGCU